AUGCCUCAAAUUCCCCCCACGCACAUGGGGAGUGGGUAUUUGAUGACUCCUCGUCAGAGCAUGGCUCCAUCAGGGGGCUAGGGAGAAAGGUAUGGCUACAGCAGAAGUAAAUCAAUUGAAUGCCAUUUGGACAACGCAUCUUGUAUAUUCUUCAAUCAAAAGACUAAAUUAGUUCCAGAUUCCCAGAUGAUACAAAGCAGUGUGAAGUGAUAGAUAUUUGAAUGAAUUGCAGCUGCACCCCUAGAUAAUUUAUACAGUGUACGGUAAAGCUGUAGUACGUACAGGCUGCCAUUAAUUGCAGUGGAACGCCUGAAGUUAUUGGAGCUUUGAACUAAUUCCAGAGCUUACAGUUCUUGAAAUCUGUCUCCAAAAAUCUGAAAACCUCGGUCAAAGCCAGGGCUUGGCACUUCCAAGUACCCAGCUUCAGAGCACAGUGGCUGCGAUUCCAGGUAUACUGAAUUGCAAAGUUUGCAUUAUUUGCUGAGAUAUGUCUGGACAGUCAUAGUCUUGGUUAAAUUCUUCCACUGUAACUUGUUUUGAGACAAAUAGUUUAUUCUAAACUGUAUUAGAUGCAAACUGUCUGCUUUUGUUGAUCUAUGUAUAAACACUAUAAUACUCAUAAAUUAAUCAAAUUGGAUGUCCAUAAUAAUCAAACAGUUUUCCAGUAUGCUUAUACACAAAGAGUUUACCUCCAGCUGGGAACAUUGUCAUACUUAAAAUUAUUUUUCCUUGCUUCAUUCUAAAUUGCAAAUCAAAGGCAUUGACUCAACAGAUUUAAAGACAUUAAAGACAUCUCCUGUUUCUUGUGCCUUUAACCAAACGCUGCACGUGGACUCACGUUUGGUUCAAUCAACCAGACAUAAGACUGUGAAAAUGAUUUUAUCCAAAUGCAGCCAAGGGUGAAGUUCAGCAAAUUGAGUCCAAACUUUUCUACAUAAUGUUUCACUCCUGAGUGCAAUCUGCAGAAAAAUAUAAUGAGGUGUCAGUUUUACUCACUCUGUGCUAACCAAUGAAGGAUGUUAAGAAUGUAGCAUGGUUAAUACAGUGAUUUCACUUUUAAAUUUCCCUAAAUCCCUGUUCAUUUUGCUGAUUUGCUUUCCAGCUAAAUACUGUAAAUGAAAGCAAUAAUGAGUGAUGAGAGUAAACACACUUUGCAAUAUACAAAGCAAACAUUAAUAAACCAGAGCAGCGGAGCAGCAAUAAAGGUCACUUGUUCUCCAGAGACCAUAAAAAAGAAAGUUACCUCUAGUGAAUCCAAGAACAUCUUACAUUCUGAUUGUCGUUAACAAAAUUCUCCUUUUCACGUUCCUGGUGCAGGGGGAUAUAAUCAGAGAAACAUGAAGUCAGAAUUAGGUCUUUUAAAUUUGAAUGUUCAUUACACGUAUGAAAUUCCUUGAAAUGAAAACCUAAAAUACAAUGCUCAGAAGGAUUUUAACAUAUAAAUGCCUGUGUUGCUUAAAUAUUUCUCCUUCUUUACUGUGAACAUAACUGUUCUGUACUUAAUCCAAGCACAUGUAAUCAGGAAAUAUUCAUAACUUAUCCUUCUUCCAGUUAGUUGAUUUGUCUCAUAAUUGAUAGAGCAUUAGCAGAAAUCUCUACUAUUGAAGAUUUCUGUGUAGGAUAUUAGCCGGUGCUAAUCAGGUAUUUCAAACCAAUUCUGAUAAUAAAUUCCAUGUUAAUAUAGUGCAGGACUAUUAUCAGUUAUGUAGUGAAAGAGGAAAUUAGAGAUCGUACACAGGGUAAAUACAUAUCUGUUAUUUAUUUGUUUUAAAUUAUAUUCAGAACAGAAAUCUAGGGAAGGAUCCUUAAUCUUAAUCAUGAAAGCUAUUUAAUUGUGCUGAAAAUUCUCAGUUGUCUUGAUUCUACUUGCUCUUUUUUCCCAACUGCUCUAUGUGCAUUUACUAUAGGACUUCAGGUAGAAUAUUUACUCUAUUUUGAGGCAUGUCAUGUAAUAUCUAAGUAUGCAUAAAAUGACAGGACAUGACCAGCAAUAUACUGAUGCACUGGGCAAGUUGUAAACGUAUUCAUUAUAAGUAGCAAUAUGAUUUGCUGUAAAAGUUAUAGUUAUGAAAUAGUAAAGAAUCUAUAAAA
rnacentral:lncRNA from 7 species